GGUGAGAUGGCCGAGUGGUCUAAGGCGCUAGAUUUAGGUCUGGAAUCUAAACUCUAGUCUUUCGGGGCGUGGGUUCGAAUCCCACUCUCAUCA